AUUGAACGCUGGCGGCAGGCUUAACACAUGCAAGUCGAGCGGGGAAGGUUGCUUCGGUAACUGACCUAGCGGCGGACGGGUGAGUAAUGCUUAGGAAUCUGCCUAUUAGUGGGGGACAACAUUCCGAAAGGGAUGCUAAUACCGCAUACGUCCUACGGGAGAAAGCAGGGGAUCAUUUGACCUUGCGCUAAUAGAUGAGCCUAUGUCGGAUUAGCUAGUUGGUAGGGUAAAGGCCUACCAAGGCGACGAUCUGUAGCGGGUCUGAGAGGAUGAUCCGCCACACUGGGACUGGGACACGGCCCAGACUCCUACGGGAGGCAGCAGUGGGGAAUAUUGGACAAUGGGGGGAACCCUGAUCCAGCCAUGCCGCGUGUGUGAAGAAGGCCUUUUGGUUGUAAAGCACUUUAAGCGAGGAGUAGGCUCUCUUGGUUAAUACCUGAGAAGAGUGGACGUUACUCGCAGAAUAAGCACCGGCUAACUCUGUGCCAGCCGCCGCCGUAA
rnacentral:rRNA from 1 species